AAGGAUUUAUUCUUGGAAGGCAAGUGGGAACUUGGAAGGCAAGGAUUAUUCUUGGAAGGCAAGGUGCAACUUGGAUUGGCUUGCUUGGCACUUUGUCAGACCAGGUGGGGAGCGCUCGGACCCUGGUCAGUUGGAGGCACAUCCUGCGAUUAACCGGACUGUGUGAAGAGGGGCCGGAUCACAGACCCAAGGAUUAGUCUAGAAUAGGACACCUUGUAAAAAAAAAAAAAAA
rnacentral:lncRNA from 1 species